rnacentral:rRNA from 1 species
GGUUUGACGUCGUGCACGAGACGACGCUGGCGGCGUGCCUAAUACAUGCAAGUCGAGCGGGGCGCUUUGGCGGAAGCCUUCGGGUGGAAGCGAAAGGGCCUAGCGGCGGACGGGUGAGUAACACGUAGGCAACCUGCCCGCAAGACCGGGAUAACUCACGGAAACGUGGGCUAAUACCGGAUAAGCGCUUUUUCCGCAUGGGAGAAGCGGGAAAGACGGGGCAACCUGUCACUUGCGGAUGGGCCUGCGGCGCAUUAGCUAGUUGGUGGGGUAACGGCUCACCAAGGCGACGAUGCGUAGCCGACCUGAGAGGGUGACCGGCCACACUGGGACUGAGACACGGCCCAGACUCCUACGGGAGGCAGCAGUAGGGAAUCUUCCGCAAUGGACGAAAGUCUGACGGAGCAACGCCGCGUGAGUGAGGAAGGUCUUCGGAUCGUAAAGCUCUGUUGCCAGGGAAGAACGCCUUGUAGUUCACUGCUACAAGGGUGACGGUACCUGAGAAGAAAGCCCCGGCUAACUACGUG